rnacentral:lncRNA from 1 species
ACAGUACUAAAGGUGAGUGCAUACGAAAAUAAAAAAAACAACUUAAAAAAAGCUUUAAAAAAAAGAAGAAGAAGAAAAAAAAGAACAAUAAUACACAGGAGCACUCAUCAGCAGGAAGACUCAGUUGAUAAAUUGAGGAGUCCAAACCAAUUGACCAAAUAACAACAAUGUUUAAGAAAUUUCAGCAGUGAUACUUUGGAGUGAUCAUAGUGAAAAGAAUGAUUGCAAUAAUCUGAACCAUUAGCCUACUUAUCUAUAUAGUAUCCCACCAUAGCCCUAGCCCCAUUACAACCGUAAAAGACCUCAAAAAGUG